rnacentral:tRNA from 1 species
AGACAAUUAACUCAAAAAGGUUAGAGUGUUUCGCUUACAACGAAAAAGUUGAUGGUUCAAGUCCAUUAUUGCCUA